CCAGGCUGGUCUCAAACUCCUGACCUCAGGUGAUCCGCCCACUUCAGGAAGUUUAACAUGCUGUGCAGGUCGUUGACUUUGGACUGAAAACUAUCAGGCUAUACUGCAGUAUCUCUUUAUAAGCCAGUUUCCCUUCUCCCACUACUCACUCCCAUGGUGACCACCUUAGGGACAGAGUGGUAUUUUCUCUCUUUCUCUCCCUUUCUCAUAUCAGGUAAAAAGAACUGAGUUAAUCAUGUGCUUCAAAUGGUGGAACAAAAUCAUCACUGGGGACACGUCACCUAUCCCCAGGUCACAUCCUGUCAUGAUCAAGACAUUAAUGGAUAUGACAAAGAUCCCAGAUGAAAAGCAACUUCUGAACCACACCACUGGCAUCCUGAUUAAAGCAAACAUAAGCAAGCCGAACCCAGCAAGACAUCUGGAACCAUCCCUAAGAGUGACCAUCCACUAGACAGGACCCAACCCUGCCAUGAGUGGAAUCAACUUCCUGUCUCAUGAGACUGCAGAUUUCAAAUCCUGUGCCUCUCCAUGGCUUCCUGAGCUCCUAACCACACUCUGACAGGCAUGGCAUCUAUGCAAAAAGGGAAAUGAGUGAGGCCAGUUGAAGAAUUAUAUAAUCCUCCAUUUUAAAAAUAGGACUGGGUAUUUUUGGAAAGAACUAGCUGGGUGAGUUAUUUAACAGCCUUUCUGGCUAGCCUGUGGAAACUCAGAAAAUGGCAUUCUCUCAGGGUCUCUAGAAAGAUGUGUUACCUGGUACAGCCAAAGAAGACUGAAGAUGCCCAGGCUGGGCUGAACCUGGGACAAUGCAGAGAUAACCUGGUCCUUUGUAAGCUGUGGACUGGCCCUGUAAUGCACGCUGGGAAGAGAGGAGUUUGGAAGCCACUCCCCAGGAUGGAUCUCUGUAGGCAAAUCCUUUCAACAGCUACUGUGAAGCCCUCUGAGCGAUGCGAUUGAUUAAGGUUGACAAAAGCCUGGCAAUGGCUUCCACUCCCCACUUCUUGUUCCCAUGUUAGACAUUAUUAAUCAAUUACAACUCUUUCUCUACAAGCCCCAGAACCAAUCCUUUACACAAAUCUCCCAGAAGCCACCAACAAUCAGUGGGAGUUGGCACGAGGUGAGACUUCUCCAGUCUGUCUGCAGUAGCUAGUAAGUGGUGCACUGGCUUCAGUUUGGACCACUGCUACAUCGUGGAGUUGACCUGUUGAAAUUGAUGAGCUAUUCUGACAUCAGUAAUGCUCCCUGCAGCUUAGAGUUCAGGACUUCCGUUGUGAUACAAAUACAGCUGCUUGGAGAAUGAAAAUAUUCAUAUAUUUUUGGAGCUAAUUCUAAGUACUUUCAAGUCUGUGCCAAAAUUAAAACUGUUCAGAAAUA